UCCAAUUUACCACUUUGCAGGACAUUCAGACUCAUCACUUUCGAUAUUUUUAUCCUCAAGAGCUUUUGCUAAGUAAAUUAGCAAUUGAUGCUUAUAGAGUACUAAAUUUUGUGAUAGCUUGCUUCCUAUGUGUGUGUUUCCAUUCAUGGAAACAACGCAAGUCUCGUGAAAUAGUUAAAACUUAAAGAAGUUACCAUAGGGUUGAGGAUGUUUUGAUUUCUAAAUUUACUUAAAGGGUGUUUGGGUUAGCUUAUAAAUUGGUCAAAAUGGCUUUUAAGCACCUUUUGUCUUAUCUCUGCAUUUGGAAAACACCCAAAAAUUUUCAGUUUAUAAGCACUUUUAGUUUGAUCAAGUUUCUUUUUUUUUUUUGGCAAUUAAAGACACUUCAUUGAUUACCAAGUGAACACAUUACAAAACUAGGGGGAUAAACCAAGGUUUUCCUGUCAUAGAAUAUUCCUUCAGAAAUCAAUCAAUAAUUGAUGUAGGAAUCUUGGCAGGAGUGAUUUGACGUAUUGUUCAAAGUUGGAAGUUGGGCACUUCGUUUAGUUUGGAACGAUCUCCCGAAAUUAUAUAGAAAGACAAUGUUCAAAAAGAAAAAAGAAAAUGACAUGCUCCUCGUUCGAAGUUGGACGACAGAAAAAAAUAUUAAUACAAGUACACCUCGUUUGAGGUUACUCGAUAUGCCCAAAAAAAAAAAUAUGAUCCUCAUUAAAGUGAAAACGAUUUGCAUGACCAUGCCCAUCUCCAAAACGGUCGUUAAACGUGUGGCGUUAAAGUAGGAGCAAACGUUCAAAUCUGCAUGAUAUGUCCAAUUUGGGAAAUCUCAGAAUGCCGUGUCCGAUUUGGAAUUUUAGUUGAAAUCUGUGGCCCUUUAGGCUUCGGAUAGUUCACCUCUCAGCUUUGUAUGCUCUAGGUUAGUGGUGUCUCCAAGUGUUUGGUGGCAGAAUUUCCUCAUAUUCAGGAUCUUUCUGACCAUGAAGCCUGUGCAGGUAAAGUCAUAGUGUCAACAGACUGCUUCUUUAUAUAAAUAGGUGCAGAUCCGUAGUUUCUCCUUCUUUCUAUUCAAUGCCCACAAUAGCUUGCAAAUAGUUGCAUGGUUCAAUAUCUACAAGUUUAGAAGGUUCAAACCACCUGCACCUAGGUACGCAAACAUUUUCCCAAGCUAGUGGAGCCUUCUUAGUAAUUGUAGCUUCUCCUAUCCAGAGAUAACUUCUACUUACAACCUCAAUCAUCUUCUUAAUCUUCUUUGGCAAUAAAAAUAGUUGGGCCCAGUACACUUGAGAACUCCAUAUAGGAUUGGAUUUAUAGGCUGAAUCCUCCUCCCUUCAUAAGAUUAGCCAUCCAGGAGGUGAUUUUAGUUGUAAUCUUGUUUACCACUGCUUGCAUGGCAGCAUAGUUAUUCUUUUGGUAGACUAGGGAAAUCCGUGAUACUUGAAGGGAAAAUCACCCAAUUCAUACCUCAAAAUAUCCAAGAUUCUCUGUUGUGUUGGUAAGUCAACUUCCCCAAAAAUAAACCUUGGUUUCGUUGAGAUUGUCCUUUGGUUCUGAAGCUGCAGAGAAUAGAUCAUAUCUACCUUUGAGCAAGUGCACAAAUGUCUCAUCUCCGCUUGGCUCUUGCAAACAUCAGGAGAUCAUCUGCAAAGCAGAGAUGAGUAAUCCCUCGUUUCUGGCAUCUUGAAUGACAAUUGAAGUGCAGUACAUUCUGCACAGUUACCAGACAUCUAUUCAAUUAUUCAAUCACCAUAACAAAAAUGAAAGGGGAUAUAGAGUCCCCUUGUUUUAGCUCCUUUUGGCUGAAACAGUUUAUGAUAAAGCACCAUUUAUAAGAAAUGUUUAACUCACUAUCUUUUAUACAAGUCAUAAUUCACUAAACCCUCAUGCUAUGGAAACCAAUCUCGUAACAUUUGUUUAAUAAAGAUCCAUUUAAUUGAGUCAUAUGCUUUAUGUAAAUUCUCUUUAAUCAUGCAUCUGGGACAGAGGUGCUUCCUGGUGUAUCCUUUUACCAAUUCAUGGCUCAGGAUGAUAUUAUUAGGGAUGAGUUUGCCUGGAAUGAAGCUGACGGACUCUGACCAAUUAUCCCAUCUAAGCCUCCUUGAAUCCUGACAGAGAUGAUCUUAGAAUGAUCUUAGAAAUAACCUUACAUACUGUAGAACAACAUUCUAUUGGUUUAAAGCCUCUUGCAGUUUCAGGGUGAGAGGUUUUAGGAACAAGAGUGACUAAGUGUUGUUUACAGUCUUUAGGAGUCUGUUAUGCUGGAGAAAUUCUUGGACUGCCUUGAACAGAUCUUCCUUAAUGAUAUCCAUGUCUUCCUAAAGAAGUAAGCAUUAAAACCAUCUAUACUUUGUUCUUUAUUUUCAUCAAUUGCAAAUAGCACAUUUUUCACUUCAUCUCUAGUGACUGGCACGCACAUUUGCUUUUGCUGUUACUGAGUGAUCCUGGCCCCUUGUCUCAUGUAUUCAGAUCAAUCAAUACUAGCUUUACUGUUUCUACUUGACCAGCUGGAGCAGGGUACUUGCUUUUUCCAUUGCCGAAUCACUUUCUUACCCCUCUGGGCACCUUUAUCCUGCACUGCUUGCUUCUUGGUGACCUGAUCAGUUUUAGGAGGGUGACCAUUGUCCCUCUCAGUGUCUCCUCUACAAACGUGUCCAUACUUAACAUCUUUUCUACAGAACACACGGUUCCAAUCAUAUCCUACCUUCGGGGAGAAUAGUUUGCUUGAUGGUUCAAUAAUGUCAUUCUCUGAUGGAAGUUCCUGAGUAACAUCCAUAUCAAUAAUAACUCGAGCAUAAGAAAUCCUAGUUUGUUUCUUAAUGUGUUUAUCAGCAAACAUAGGCUCCCCCAAACGACUAGCAAUUCUGCUCUAAGUAACUGGACCCCAACAAGUCAGAGUUGGGUUAGGAACCUAACCCAUAGAGGAAUUGUUGUGGGAUGUUCCUACUGAAAAUCAAAAUUAGGAGUCCACGUCUUCAUAAUUAGAGGCACACAAUCCAUUGUGUAUAGGCCUGAGUAUAAAACAUCCUUAUCCUAACUAGAUUUGAAUUUCACAGUAAAAAACCCCUCAUCAUGAAAAUAUAGAUAAAGGCAGGCGACAGAAUUCCAAGUUCUAGCUAAUUGUCAAAAAUAAAAACAAUUCCAAGUUCUAGCUAUAUAGUUUCUCAUAUAAUUGUAAUUUAGAGUGUUCUCCAUAGUAUAGAGUAUAAGUGCAUUCCUCCAUUCCCUAGUCUGUUCCUCAAUCUCAUCUCUCCAAUUGAACUGCUAACGUACCAUUUACAACCACUGGAAGGAAAAAAGAUAUGGGCACACCAUUAGUUGCAAUUCGUUUUUGGGAGAAAAGCCCCGACCAUGUUAGUCUUGAGUUCCUUUUGGCACUUGUGCAUCACCCACAAGGUUCACUGGGCUCGUUGCUUUCUCCUAGUCUAUGGUAUAGAUGAAGUGUCCCUUUUCUCUCAUGCUUCCUUUCUGGAUUUAGCACCCAAGUCAGCUUCAGAUUCAACCAUCGCCUUAGAUCGUGUAGUAGAUCCAGUUGCUAUGACCAUCAGCUUCAGAUUCAACCAUCGCCUUAGAUCGUGUAGUAGAUCCAGUUGCUACGACCAGACUUGGUAUUGCUCCAGAUUCGCCAUCAUCAUAACAGGUGUGGACGCCGCAGAGCUCGGAUCUGCCAUGGGACAGGCAGGAGAAGAGCUCGUGGGAGCCUUACUGUGUUUCUUCGUCGAUGCCUGAUCUUUCCGAGGUCGUUCACGACCUUGCUUUGCCAUGGAAUUCAGCCGCCGGCACGUUAGCAAAGAGCCCUAAUCAUGUGCCAAGAGAACCU